rnacentral:rRNA from 1 species
CAGACUCCUACGGGAGGCAGCAGUGGGGAAUAUUGCACAAUGGGCGAAAGCCUGAUGCAGCGACGCCGCGUGAGGGAUGACGGCCUUCGGGUUGUAAACCUCUUUCAGCAGGGAAGAAGCGAAAGUGACGGUACCUGCAGAAGAAGCACCGGCUAACUACGUGCCAGCAGCCGCGGUAAUACGUAGGGUGCGAGCGUUGUCCGGAAUUACUGGGCGUAAAGGGCUCGUAGGUGGUUUGUCGCGUCGUCUGUGAAAUUCCGGGGCUUAACUCCGGGCGUGCAGGCGAUACGGGCAUAACUUGAGUACUGUAGGGGUAACUGGAAUUCCUGGUGUAGCGGUGAAAUGCGCAGAUAUCAGGAGGAACACCGAUGGCGAAGGCAGGUCUCUGGGCUGUAACUGACGCUGAGGAGCGAAAGCAUGGGGAGCGAACAGGAUUAGAUACCCUGGUAGUCCACGCUGUAAACGCUGUCGAUUU